rnacentral:tRNA from 1 species
GGGGUUGUGGCUCAGUGGUAGAGCACUUGCCUUGCAUGUGAGAGGCCCUGAGUUCAAUUCUCAACACCACA